rnacentral:ncRNA from 2 species
GAGGAAGCCCGGUGAGAAUCCGGCGCGGUCCCGCCACUGUGAACCCGGCAGCUGCCGGGCGAGCCAGGAACUC